CACGUAGGGUGCGAGCGUUGUCCGGAAUUAUUGGGCGUAAAGAGCUCGUAGGCGGUGUGUCGCGUCGGCCGUGAAAACCUGCAGCUUAACUGUGGGCUUGCGGUCGAUACGGGCAUCACUGGAGUUCGGCAGGGGAGACUGGAAUUCCUGGUGUAGCGGUGAAAUGCGCAGAUAUCGGGAGGAACACCGGUGGCGAAGGCGGUUCUCUGGGCCUUACCUGACGCUGAGGAGCGAAAGCGUGGGGAGCAAACAGG
rnacentral:rRNA from 1 species